rnacentral:rRNA from 1 species
CAGGCUUAACACAUGCAAGUCGAGGGGCAGCAUGGUCUUUUCUUGCUAAGGCCGAUGGCGACCGGCGCACGGGUGAGUAACACGUAUCCAACCUGCCGUCUACUCUUGGACAGCCUUCUGAAAGGAAGAUUAAUACAAGAUGGCAUCAUGAGUCCGCAUGUUCACAUGAUUAAAGGUAUUCCGGUAGACGAUGGGGAUGCGUUCCAUUAGAUAGUAGGCGGGGUAACGGCCCACCUAGUCUUCGAUGGAUAGGGGUUCUGAGAGGAAGGUCCCCCACAUUGGAACUGAGACACGGUCCAAACUCCUACGGGAGGCAGCAGUGAGGAAUAUUGGUCAAUGGGCGAGAGCCUGAACCAGCCAAGUAGCGUGAAGGAUGACUGCCCUAUGGGUUGUAAACUUCUUUUAUAAAGGAAUAAAGUCGGGUAUGGAUACCCGUUUGCAUGUACUUUAUGAAUAAGGAUCGGCUAACUCCGUGCCAGCAGCCGCGGUAAUACGGAGGAUCCGAGCGUUAUCCGGAUUUAUUGGGUUUAAAGGGAGCGUAGAUGGAUGUUUAAGUCAGUUGUGAAAGUUUGCGGCUCAACCGUAAAAUUGCAGUUGAUACUGGAUAUCUUGAGUGCAGUUGAGGCAGGCGGAAUUCGUGGUGUAGCGGUGAAAUGCUUAGAUAUCACGAAGAACUCCGAUUGCGAAGGCAGCCUGCUAAGCUGCAACUGACAUUGAGGCUCGAAAGUGUGGGUAUCAAACAGGAUUAGAUACCCUGGUAGUCCACACGGUAAACGAUGAAUACUCGCUGUUUGCGAUAUACUGCAAGCGGCCAAGCGAAAGCGUUAAGUAUUCCACCUGGGGAGUACGCCGGCAACGGUGAAACUCAAAGGAAUUGACGGGGGCCCGCACAAGCGGAGGAACAUGUGGUUUAAUUCGAUGAUACGCGAGGAACCUUACCCGGGCUUAAAUUGCAGAUGAAUUACGGUGAAAGCCGUAAGCCGCAAGGCAUCUGUGAAGGUGCUGCAUGGUUGUCGUCAGCUCGUGCCGUGAGGUGUCGGCUUAAGUGCCAUAACGAGCGCAACCCUUGUUGUCAGUUACUAACAGGUUCCGCUGAGGACUCUGACAAGACUGCCAUCGUAAGAUGUGAGGAAGGUGGGGAUGACGUCAAAUCAGCACGGCCCUUACGUCCGGGGCUACACACGUGUUACAAUGGGGGGUACAGAGGGCCGCUACCACGCGAGUGGAUGCCAAUCCCCAAAACCUCUCUCAGUUCGGACUGGAGUCUGCAACCCGACUCCACGAAGCUGGAUUCGCUAGUAAUCGCGCAUCAGCCACGGCGCGGUGAAUACGUUCCCGGGCCUUGUACACACCGCCCGUCAAGCCAUGGGAGCCGGGGGUACCUGAAGUGCGUAACCGCGAGGAGCGCCCUAGGGUAAAACUGGUGACUGGGGCU